UUGCAGUCGAUGUUUUGAAAUGUGAGGGAACGUUGUAUGAAAGGACAAGUAUCAUCAUGAAGACUGCCUGCAUAGUUGCGCUCCUGUUCACUUGCAUUGUCAUGGUUACCAUGCCAAUGACUGAAGCCCAAGGCUACCCUCCACCCAACCGUGACUGCCAUUGCAGUAGCGGACCGUGUCGUUACGGAACGAGUUACGCCGGUCCGUGUCCAUACAACUCAUAUCAGAAGAAUUGCUGUAGAAAUUAUUGAGGACCACCAAGGCACACUGGACCAUAUUGACAUUCAAAUGUCCUGGUUAGAUUGAACAAUACAAUAUCGCAAUCGUC